AGGAUGAACGCUGGCGGUCUGCUUAACACAUGCAAGUCGAACGGAGUACCUCGGUACUUAGUGGCGGACGGGUGAGUAACGCGUGAGAAUCUGCCCUUAGGUCGGGGACAACCAUUGGAAACGAUGGCUAAUACCGGAUAAGCCGAGAGGUAAAAGAUUAAUUGCCUAGGGAAGAGCUCGCGUCUGAUUAGCUAGUUGGUGAGGUAAAGGCUCACCAAGGCAUCGAUCAGUAGCUGGUCUGAGAGGAUGAUCAGCCACACUGGGACUGAGACACGGCCCAGACUCCUACGGGAGGCAGCAGUGGGGAAUUUUCCGCAAUGGGCGAAAGCCUGACGGAGCAAGACCGCGUGAGGGAGGAAGGCUCUUGGGUUGUAAAGCUCUUUACCCGGGAUGAUAAUGACAGUACCGGGAGAAUAAGCUCCGGCUAACUCCGUGCCAGCAGCCGC
rnacentral:rRNA from 1 species